rnacentral:misc_RNA from 1 species
AAUGUCCAUGUUGAAGCCGUUUCUUGAGACCAGUCAGAGUGAUUACUUCGGAUGGAAAACUGAUUACU